rnacentral:rRNA from 1 species
GACGAACGCUGGCGGCGUGCUUAACACAUGCAAGUCGAACGGAAAGGCCCUGCUUUUGUGGGGUGCUCGAGUGGCGAACGGGUGAGUAACACGUGAGUAACCUGCCCUUGACUUUGGGAUAACUUCAGGAAACUGGGGCUAAUACCGGAUAGGAGCUCCUGCUGCAUGGUGGGGGUUGGAAAGUUUCGGCGGUUGGGGAUGGACUCGCGGCUUAUCAGCUUGUUGGUGGGGUAGUGGCUUACCAAGGCUUUGACGGGUAGCCGGCCUGAGAGGGUGACCGGCCACAUUGGGGCUAGGAUAAGGCCAAGAAUCCUCAGGGAGGCAGCAGUCGGGAAUAUUGCAAGAUGGGCGGAAGCCUGAUGCAGCAACGCCGCGUGCGGGAUGACGGCCGUCAGGUUGUAAACCGCUGUCGCCUGUGACGAAGCGUGAGUGACGGUAAUGGGUAAAGAAGGACCGGCUAACUACGUG